UCGAGGAUCUUCGGCAAUGGGCGCAAGCCUGACCGAGCGACGCCGCGUGUGCGAUGAAGGCCUUCGGGUUGUAAAGCACUGUCGAGGGGGAGGAAAGCCCGCAAGGGUCUGACCUAUCCCUGGAGGAAGCACGGGCUAAGUUCGUGCCAGCAGCCGCGGUAAGACGAACCGUGCAAACGUUGUUCGGAAUCACUGGGCUUAAAGGGCGCGUAGGCGGGUGGCCAAGUCAGGGGUGAAAUCCGGCAGCUUAACUGUCGAAUAGCUUCUGAUACUGGUCGUCUUGAGGGGGGUAGGGGCAUGUGGAACUUCCGGUGGAGCGGUGAAAUGCGUAGAUAUCGGAAGGAACGCCGGUGGCGAAAGCGACGUGCUGGACCCUUUCUGACGCUGAGGCGCGAAAGCCAGGGGAGCAAACGGGAUUAGAUACCCCCGUAGUCC
rnacentral:rRNA from 1 species